rnacentral:lncRNA from 1 species
GUGUGCGAUCCAUUAGGUUCAUUUUAGCGAGGUAGUGGGCGAUUAAAACCAUUUAACAUCGAUUGUGAAUUGAAACUAUUUUCAAUUCUCCCUUUAGUGAUUAUACACGUUUAGGGCUUCCAUAAACCAUGAGUGACACCUAGCAGCAUAUCAUGGCUACCCAAGCUAAUCAGAAGAGGUUUAGAGAACCUAUUCAGUUAGGGAUUACAAAUGCAAUACGGUCCUUCUCUAAUCUAAUACUCUUGACCACAUUGUUUGGUUUGAUAGU